rnacentral:rRNA from 1 species
CCCUUAGAUGUCCGGGGCCGCACGCGCGCUACACUGAAGGAAUCAGCGUGGCUUUCUCCCUGACCCGAAAGGGUUGGGAAACCCGUUGAAUCUCCUUCGUGAUAGGGAUUGGGGCUUGAAAUUGUUCCCCAUGAACGAGGAAUUCCCAGUAAGCGCGAGUCAUAAGCUCGCGUUGAUUACGUCCCUGCCCUUUGUACACACCGCCCGUCGCUACUACCGAUUGAACGGUUUAGUGAGGGCCUCGGAUUGGUCUCGGCCCGCUCUUUACCUGGCGGCGCCGUUGGUCGAGAAGACGCUCGAACUUGAUCGUUUAGAGGAAGUAAAAGUCGUAACA